AUUGAACGCUGGCGGAAUGCUUUACACAUGCAAGUCGAGCGGCAGCACGGGGGCAACCCUGGUGGCGAGCGGCGAACGGGUGAGUAAUACAUCGGAACAUGCCCAGUUGUGGGGGAUAACACUUCGAAAGAAGUGCUAAUACCGCAUCCGUCCUGAGGGAGAAAGCGGGGGAUCUUCGGACCUCGCGCGAUUGGAGUGGCCGAUGUCAGAUUAGCUAGUUGGUGGGGUAAAGGCCUACCAAGGCAACGAUCUGUAGCUGGUCUGAGAGGAUGAUCAGCCACACUGGGACUGAGACACGGCCCAGACUCCUACGGGAGGCAGCAGUGGGGAAUUUUGGACAAUGGGGGCAACCCUGAUCCAGCCAUUCCGCGUGAGUGAAGAAGGCCUUCGGGUUGUAAAGCUCUUUCGGCAGGAACGAAACGGCGAGCUCUAACAUAGCUUGCUAAUGACGGUACCUGAAGAAGAAGCACCGGCUAACUACGUGCCAGCCGCCGCCGUAAUAC
rnacentral:rRNA from 1 species